GCCUGGAAAUUGCCCUUCUAACCGCAGCCGCACCAAACAAUGCCCGCCACAAGGUCCUCGGAAGAGAAGGACCCGCGCCCCUGCCGCCAAACUGUGUUCAGAGAGAAGCCACGGCCCCAUCGCUGGUUGGGAGAGUGAGAGAGAACUAGAAGGCUUAGGCUCCGACUCCUCUGUGCUCAGCCCUUAGCUGGGCAUGGGCAGAGGGGUCUGGGGGUGGGGUGUCCUGAGCCUCUAGUCCCCAUCUUUUUUAGCACAGGGGUGUGGGGUCCCCGGAGUGGCUCACGGAGCUCUCAACCUAAUGGAGGAGCUGGGACUGCCACACACGCGCACACACACACACACACACACGACACAGUGAGAGAACCGCGCGGAGCAGGGGUCGGCUUCAGGGCAGUCCCUAACAGCUGGGAGAGCGAGUCGGUGGGCGGUUGUGCUGGGCCGGCUUCCGGCAGGCUCGGCGCAGCCAGGGCCGGGUGGGGAUCACACUUCAGUCAGGAGGAACCCCAGGGCCGCGUGGCGCCCGCCUGCCUGAGCCUGGAGGGGGCUAGGAAGUCAGCUGCAGGCAGAGGACCCAGGACCCACAGAGCCCCCUCGCCCUGGAGCUGGUCUGGAGUUUGAGCGGGGAGAGGGAGCCAGGGCCAGGAGGAGCCGGGCCAGCUGGACUGCAGGCAGGACCAGAGAUUCUCUGAGGACCCUCCCAGAGUGACAGGCCGGAGAGGAAGCGCAUCUUGUGCUGUGGGGACAGACACGCUGACACAGACUGAGGAUAAAGACUUUAAUCUGGGCCCUUUGUGCCCAUGGCUCCAGUUCAGACAAGGGGAUGGGAUCUCCCUCAUUGUGGCUCUUCUUCGUCUCUGGAAGGCCUCCCCUGGACCCAGGCGCUCAGGUGGGGGCGGUGAACACCAAGGGUGGAGGUCCCAGGUGGUCCCGGGAGACAGUCAGGAGUCUGGGGUGAGGAGGCUUCAAGACCUCUCAAGGCUUUGCAGGUAUUUAACUGCAUUCUUCACUCUCUUGUUGUUGGGGUCCGAACAGAUGGCCCUGCCCUGCACAGUUACAAAACUACAGAAGGAGGACGUUACCAGGAGUGGCAGAGGGGGAAGGGCCCCCAGAGUCCCUGGGACGGCCUGCCCUGUGCUGACCAGGAUUCCAAGGCUCCAAGAGGGGCAGGAAGUUGCUGCUGUCACACAGGGCAUUGGUGGCAGAUCUGGGACUUCAGGCUCUGUCCCGAGUAAUCUCGACCCUCCCAGGGAGCCAGGGCUGCAGGAACUUGUGCCCACCCCUCAGCCUGCCCAUGCCCCCAGACAGCCUAGAGCCUGGGACGUGGAGACUGCAGGCAGGGCUCAGGCCCAGGCCGGGGGAGGUGACCACAUUGCCCCUGACCAGCUGUGUGACCUGGGGGUGUUCAUUGCUCCCGGGGCUUCAAUUUCACCACAAAUCAAGGAAUAGGUUGGACCUCAUGGCCUGCGGCCCUUUUGGGUCCCACAGCGUGGGGAGCCUGCAGGGGUUGGGGAGGAAGGCCCCGCUGUCUCUUCCCUGCUCCCCAUUGGCCGUCCUGGGAGCUCCAGGGUGCACUUGUCCCCAUGCUUGGCCCUGAGGAGCAGGGGUGGAGCCAGGGGGACUUACACGAUGGCAUCCCUGGAGCAGUCCUCAGAUGUCUGGUACCACGUCUUCAGCUUUCUAAGGGGAAUGGCUCCCUUGAAGUACUCCAGGCAGCACUCCCGGCCCACAUUGGUCCCUCGAGCUGCAGGGAGAGGAGCGGGACAGGGGUGUCUUCUGGGCGCCGUGGUUCAUGCCUGUAAUCCCAGCACUUUGGGAGGCCGAGGCAGGUGGAUGGCCUGAGGUCAGGAGUUCGAGACCAGCCUGACCAACAUGGUGAAAACCCGCUGGUGGCGUGGUGGCCGGGCACCUGUAUUCCCAGCUACUCGGGAGGCUGAGGCAGGAGAAUCGCUUGAACCUGGGAGGCAGAGGUUGCAGUGAGCCGAGAUCACACCAUUGCACUCCAGCCUGGGCGACAGCGCGAGACUCCGUCUCAAAAAAAAAAAAAAAGAAUCGUUUUUUACAUGCUCUUGGAAAUAAUUCUCCUAUCUUUAUGCUGAUUCCCUCAUUGUGCAUAAAACCUGUUAAUAAAACA